UACGAAGGGGGCAAGCGUUACUCGGAAUUACUAGGCGUAAAGGGCAGGUAGGUGGUUUGAUAAGUCUGUUGUGUAAGCUCCCGGCUUAACUGGGAGAGGUCAACGGAAACUAUCAGACUUGAGUAUAGGAGAGGUUACUGGAAUUCCCGGUGUAGCGGUGAAAUGCGCAGAGAUCGGGAGGAACACCAAUGGCGAAAGCAGGUAACUGGACUAUUACUGACACUCAGCUGCGAAAGCUAGGGGAGCAAACAGG
rnacentral:rRNA from 1 species